UACGGAGGGGGCUAGCGUUUGUUCGGAAUUACUGGGCGUAAAGCGCACGUAGGCGGCUUUGCAAGUUAGAGGUGAAAGCCCGGGGCUCAACUCCGGAAUUGCCUUUAAAACUGCAUCGCUAGAAUUGUGGAGAGGUAAGUGGAAUUCCGAGUGUAGAGGUGAAAUUCGUAGAUAUUCGGAAGAACACCAGUGGCGAAGGCGACUUACUGGACACAUAUUGACGCUGAGGUGCGAAAGCGUGGGGAGCAAACAGG
rnacentral:rRNA from 1 species